ACCGAAAUAUAGAUGUCAGUGUAUAAUUGGAUAAUAAGGCCGAGCUUAUUUCUGUAAAAUAGACCCUUUCUCAUGUGAUCAGGCACUACUUCUGUUCGAUCAAAACCCUAAAAAUUUAUCUCUUCCCUUAAAGGCUCAAACUCUCACUCUCUCAGUCUCUAUCCUAGAUCAGAUCCGACUCUGACUCUCUCACUCUCUCAGCCGGUCAGAUCCAGACGAGCGAGACGAACCCAGACGAGCGAGAGUGCGAGACGAACCCAGAAACAUCGCACCUGUGAUUUGGUUGAUGCAGCUCUGCCUGGGAUUUGGUUGAUGAUCCGUCUUCGAUUUGGGCCAUGGCUCAAUUCUUGCAGUGAGUGCAGUCCAGCGACCAUAGCCUCUGGCCCUGUGAUUUCGAGUGAAAUUGUUAAGCUCUAGAGUCCAUAGCCUGUGAUGCCCGUGAGCACUUUGAGUGAAAUUGCUUUAUGUCUAUCUGUUUGCAGGGAGGAGAUUGAAAAACAAAAGGCUCAUGAGCGAUACAUGAGGUUGCAGGAGCAGGGAAAAACUGAACAAGCAAAGAAAGAUUUAGAUUGCUUCUUGCUUAUUGCCUUGGAGAUCUACUACCAGGUCGGAAGCAUCUGCUAGCUCCUCUGACCAAUCUGCUUCCAAUUCUGAACCAUCCGCUUGCAAUGAAAUUGCUUAUUUGCUAUGUGGAUGUUGAUUGUUGAUUGUUGAAUAUGUAGAUUGUAGAUAAUGUUGAGUUUGAAUGAGUGAAUAGAUUGUGCAAUAUUGAAUCAUUUGAAUGUAUGUAUGGAAAUCAGGAAAA